CCUUUGACGUUAGCGGCGGACGGGUGAGUAACACGUGGGUAACCUACCUAUAAGACUGGGAUAACUUCGGGAAACCGGAGCUAAUACCGGAUAAUAUUUCGAACCGCAUGGUUCGAUAGUGAAAGAUGGUUUUGCUAUCACUUAUAGAUGGACCCGCGCCGUAUUAGCUAGUUGGUAAGGUAACGGCUUACCAAGGCGACGAUACGUAGCCGACCUUAGAGGGUGAUCGGCCACACUGGAACUGAGACACGGUCCAGACUCCUACGGGAGGCAGCAGCC
rnacentral:rRNA from 1 species